UUUGGCUAGGCCAGGAGGUAACCAGGGCGUGGAAACCAAACAGUUUCCAUGAUGUUCUUGGAUAUCUUCCCAGUAAAUCCAUGGCUGCCAUACUGCUAAAUGCAAAAUGCAAGCUCAGGUUCUCGCUAUAGAUUUCCUGCUGCUUCAUUUUGCUGACUCUGGUGUUGCCAUGGGAGAAUCUCACUUAUGGCCUGGCUAGGUAAAAAUCUUAGCACUUUAUCCUCAGCAAGCUCAACCUGUUUCUCCUGGGCUUUGUUUCCCUAAGUCAUUGAUCAAGAAGCAGCAACCCCUGUCAUCCCAAGCAUAGGUCCCAAGAGGUUACCCCUGAGAUGUCCUAGCAUUCAGGCUGCUAAGAGUUUGCACUUAGGUUUAUGCCACUUGCCCUCAGUCCAGGAGAGUCACAAGUUUGAACCCCAAUGGAAAAACAAAUAAUUUGUUCCAUGGCUGCAAUAAAUGCAGCCUGAUGUCUCAAACUUCUUCCACUGAUUAUUCCUUAAACCAGAAGAGGUAUGUGUCACCUUUGAACUGGCCUUUAUUAUGGAGAGCAAAUUUCUCCAACAUAUGUGCUAUGGCUUCUUGGUCAAAUAUGUCGUUUUCAUAUUUGCAGGGCAGAGAGAUUUUGCAGAAAGCUCACACCUCUCACAUGAUUGCAGCUGAGACCUCAGCGUUUACAUCCCGAAACACUGACACUAACUCUUCUACUCAUCUGGUGAGGGCCAGUCCCCAGGGCGAGAUCCGGUCCUUUCUGCAUGUUCCCGGAGUGACCUGCCCAAGAGAGAUCUGGUUUACAGAAGGACUACUCGAUGUGAAGAUUUAAGAACGGACUGCACGACUCCAAGCUGGAAGUCCUUCUUUCCCUUAACUUUCAGGCAGACACUGCUGCGACCAUGGGCGAGAAGCAACCAUACCCUUCUGACGGAUGGGGAAACCUAAUGCAAGCCAUAUGACAAUGAGCUGGGGGGGGGCAGCAAUGGGGACGUGCCAGGCUCUGAGCUUCACUCCUGCUAGGAAGGGCCAGCCUGUGGCACUUAGAAGACAACGACCUGACCAGCUGGCGGGGCCAGGGGUGCUCACUCAGGAAAGACCCUCCCUCUGCAGGAGUCCUUGAUUCUGAGAAUGUGCCACUUGGGCACAGCAAAGCGUUCUUUUCCCUGCGUUUUGCCUUCAUUCCUUUGGCAUAACCCAAAUCCUCUUCGGUGGCAUGCUCCCAAUUGCUGAAAUUCCCAACAUUCAUGAGGAGGGUAAGUAACAAAUCACUGAGUUCAAGGAGAAAGGCUAUUCUAGAGCACUGGAAAGGGCUGUGGACAGAGGGCUGCCGAUGCCCCCAGCGUCUUCCAUGAACUCAGUUGUUGGGACAGGACCUCUUCCCCUUGCUCCCAAACUUCAGCCACAUCCCCCCCAAAUAGCCCCUAAUUGUCAGUGCUCACAAUGCACGCUGUCAGGGACCCACAGUAGGUUUGAAUCCUGCCGGAGUCCGGGUGCCCGCCUCUGCUUGGAAUUGGUUUUCCAGCGUGGUACCCGGUGAGCUAAUUCAUUUUGUGGCUGUCAGGGCUGCAUUCCUGAUCCACAGCUGACAAUGAACACUGUCCUCUGCAUAACAAAUGCGUCUUUCUCAGGCUGCAGUAAAUACAAAGAGAUUAACAAGAAAUCAAGGCUCCAGCCUGCCAGUGCUCUCCCCUCUCUUCUGGCAUGAAUACCACUGUUUUGAUUAAACCCCCAACUUGUCAGCUUGGUCGGAAACUCUCCGUCCUCACCUAACCCCCUUCCUUGUCAUGCAGGCCUCUUGUUCCCACUCCGAGUUCAAAACCAAGCAAGGGUCCCCAGCCAACCUCAGAAGCUGCCUUGGGACCCCUUGGGGAGCCACCUUCAGUGCUCUGGAUGUAAAUGGUUAUUCAUAUGCUGCUUCUACUGCGGCUGCUGCUCCUGACGUUUACUAAAGCACACGCAUCAAAGAGGGACCCAGCCGCACAUCUUGUCCUUUGCAGCGAGCUGCAAGCGACUCUAAUUUCUUCCAGGCUGGGAGAGACAUUCAGGUGAGCCUAGGGAAUGUCCAUUCCCUCGAAAUGAAAGCUGGUAAACAAAGGGCUCAGGCUGGCUGACUUUGAAGGCCAGGCCAAGGUCACAUAGAGAUCUGCUUCGCUCUUCCUCUGGAUUUGCAAUCCGGAGUCUGAUGUCUCGCUGUUAGGAAUUCACCGAGAGAGAGACCGUGUUUAUCAUGCAAACACAGUUGGGUCCUGCUGCAGACAGACUUGCCUUUCAGUUCCAUGCUCCUAGCAAGUCCUGCCUUUGGCACUUUGGGGACAGGAAUACUUGAGGGACACACAGGGUCUCGGAGGACUAGACAAACCUGGCCCCUUCACUGAAAAGCUCUCUGUUCAGCGGUCCUCUUUCCACAGCCCCUCACCUUCUUAUUUAAACCUGCCAGCAACCUCUCUUAUCGGAUGCAGAGAGUUUAUUCAAAAUGCUCUUGUUGCAAAUAGGAAAGGGACCAAGAGAUAGAGGGAGGUGGGAGGGAAAGGAGGAGAAGGGAAAGUAGAAAGAAUUAAAAUGUGUCAUGUACUUGCACCAACUCUUCAUGACGAAUGUACUCAUUCUGUACUGCAAACGUGUACUAAUAAAAAUUAAAGAUUUAAAAAAUAUGUAUCUUUCUUGGAAGAAAUAGUCUUUGCAGCGUGUGUGUGUAUGUGUGUGUGUGUGUGUGUGUGUGUGUGUAGCAGGUAUCAUAGGAAGCUAUCAGAUAACGCUGCAUCAGACUAUUAUUUAUUUGCACCUCUUAACAUGUAGAAAUCUUUCUGGUUUAGACAGAAAGCCAAGCUUUCUGCAGGCAACGGGGGAGAAUGGACAGCCUGACCUGUCUGAACGUUGCCAUCCUCAUUUCACUGAAACAUAGAAAGCGCGAGAAAGGGUCGGAAAGGGAGUGUCUCACACCCUGCACCACACCUUACUGUAUCUAUUUGCUCACUUGUUUUUCUGCUUCUCUAUUGCAUCCUGCCCCAAAAGUAUUUCAAACAACCUCCAUAGGGAUGGAGACAACAGAAACAGUGUGCUCGUGGGUAGCAAAAGACACAGGUAUCAGAGAGGAAUUGUACGUGUUUAUGUAGGUUUUGUAAGUAAGUUUUCUAAGGCUAAAGUUUCUAAACAUGUUUCCUGUGACAUGGCGCCUUCCUGGGUAGUGGAGACUCUUUAAACAACAAGGAAACCCCCGAAUUGGUGUGCUUCUGGAGUCCUCAUUUGCAGUACAUACUGUUCACAUGCCUUGUGCGCAGUUGGUGUAUGUGCCAGGCCCAUCUUAAAUCUUUUUCAUCCUUUCCGCCUCCCUCCUCCCUCCUCCCUCCAUCUUGAUUUCCUUCCCAUUUGGAGAGAGAUCUAUUGCCC
rnacentral:lncRNA from 1 species